CCUACGGGUGGCAGCAGUCGAGAAUCAUUCACAAUGGGGGCAACCCUGAUGGUGCGCCGCCGCGUGGGGGAAUGAAGGUCUUCGGAUUGUAAACCCCUGUCAUGUGGGAGCAAAUUCAAAAGAUAGUACCACACGAGGAAGAGACGGCUAACUCUGUGCCGGCAGCCGCGGUAAUACCGAGGUCUCAAGCGUUGUUCGGAAUCACUGGGCGUAAAGCGUGCGUAGGCUGUUUCGUAAGUCGUGUGUGAACGGCGCGGGCGCAACCCGCGGACGGCACAUGAUACUGCGAGACUAGAGUAAUGGAGGGGGAACCGGAAUUCUCGGUGUAGCAGUGAAAUGCGUAGAUAUCGAGAGGAACACUCGAGGCGGAGGCGGGUUCCUGGACAUUAACUGACGCUGAGGCACGAAGGCCAGGGGAGCGAAAGGGAUUAGAUACCCUAGUAGUC
rnacentral:rRNA from 1 species